UGCAUCGGAACGUACCCAGUCGUGGGGGAUAACGCAGCGAAAGUUGUGCUAAUACCGCAUACGACCUGAGGGUGAAAGCGGGGGACCGUAAGGCCUCGCGCGAUUGGAGCGGCCGAUGUCUGAUUAGCUAGUUGGUGGGGUAAAGGCCCACCAAGGCGACGAUCAGUAGCGGGUCUGAGAGGAUGAUCCGCCACACUGGGACUGAGACACGGCCCAGACUCCUACGGGAGGCAGCAGUGGGGAAUUUUGGACAAUGGGGGCAACCCUGAUCCAGCCAUGCCGCGUGCGGGAAGAAGGCCUUCGGGUUGUAAACCGCUUUCGGACGGAAAGAAAUCGCAUGGACUAAUACUCUGUGUGGAUGACGGUACCGUAAGAAGAAGCACCGGCUAACUACGUG
rnacentral:rRNA from 1 species